rnacentral:lncRNA from 1 species
CUUACUUCCUUUUGUGGGCGACUUCCCUUUCUCUCUUUGUCUCUUUCCUUCCAGCCUCAUGCUUUGAAAACAAAGGAUUUGGAGGUCUUUUGUAUUUUGCAAAAGCUGCAAGGGCAUCCCUGUGUUGGACAACCUAUCUGGAGAGUACAGUAAGGAGAACCUGUGUGCCUGGAAGAAGGAGAGUGUGGUGAUUGUGAGGCUCUGCAUUGAACUCGGUGCUGCCCUGUCACAGAAAGCGGAACCCGCUAUAUUCAGUUGGUGCCCCCGAGAAAGCAUUUGGAUUAGCCAUAGCCAGAGGGUCAUCGCCCAUCUCAGCAUCAGGGCUUGAGUUCUGGCAAGUCUCAGCACCACAGGCGGGAGUGCUCUGGGGCCUUAAGUGAACUUGAGAGACAGUCUAGGCCACAAGAACUGCAAUUCCAAGGCAAGUCCUAGUGCUGAGCUGGGCUCAGAGCCAGUAGACGGAAGAGGAAGUGGGGGACCUACAACCUGCUGAGACACCAGCCUAGAUGGCUUAGGGAGUGCUUGUGCCACCCCUCCCCAGCCCCCAGCAUCGAUCCUGCUGCACAGAGAAAUCUGUGAACUUGGGAGAGGGAGAGUGCAGUGGGUGGGGGACUUUGCAUUGAACUCAGUGCUGUCCUGUUACAGUGGAGACCUGUCAGGAUUCAUCACCUGCUAACUAAAGACUCCCUGGGUCCUGAAUAACCAACAAUGAUACCCAGGUAAUAUGCCAUGGGCUUUGGGCUCUUAGAUACGUUGGCUUCAGGUGUGACCCAGCACAUUCCCAGCUGUGGUGGCUGUGGUGAAAGACUCCUUCUGUUUGAGAAAAGCAGGGGGAAAAUUAAGGGAACUCUUGCAUGUUUGAUUUUUCAAAUGGAUUCCUGCCUGUGUGUGACCACUCUUUUCUCUCAAAAACUCAUCAUGGGAACACUGCAAUAAAACCAAAGAACCAGGACACCAAAGAUUGUUAUAUAUGGAUUU